rnacentral:rRNA from 1 species
CCUACGGGAGGCAGCAGUGGGGGAUAUUGGACAAUGGGGGGAACCCUGAUCCAGCGACGCCGCGUGAGUGAAGAAGUAUUUCGGUAUGUAAAGCUCUGUCAGCAGGGAAGAAAGAAAUGACGGUACCUGACCAAGAAGCCCCGGCUAACUACGUGCCAGCAGCCGCGGUAAUACGUAGGGGGCAAGCGUUAUCCGGAAUUACUGGGUGUAAAGGGAGCGUAGACGGUUAAGUAAGUCUGGAGUGAAAGGCCGGGGGCCAACCCCGGGACUGCUCUGGAAACUAUUGAAAUUGAGUGCAGGAGAGGUAAGCGGAAUUCCUAGUGUAGCGGUGAAAUGCGUAGAUAUUAGGAGGAACACCAGUGGCGAAGGCGGCUUACUGGACUGUAACUGACGUUGAGGCUCGAAAGCGUGGGGAGCAAACAGGAUUAGAUACCCCAGUAGUC